GACGAACGCUGGCGGCGUGCUUAACACAUGCAAGUCGAACGGAAAGGCCCCUUCGGGGGUACUCGAGUGGCGAACGGGUGAGUAACACGUGAGUAACCUGCCCUUGACUUCGGGAUAACUUCAGGAAACUGGGGCUAAUACCGGAUAGGAAUCCUUGCUGCAUGGUGGGGGUUGGAAAGCUUCGGCGGUUUUGGAUGGACUCGCGGCUUAUCAGCUUGUUGGUGGGGUAGUGGCUUACCAAGGCUUUGACGGGUAGCCGGCCUGAGAGGGCGACCGGCCACAUUGGGACUGAGAGACGGCCCAGACUCCUACGGGAGGCAGCAGUGGGGAAUAUUGCACAAUGGGCGGAAGCCGGAUGCAGCAACGCCGCGUGCGGGAUGACGGCCUUCGGGUUGUAAACCGCUUUCAGCAGGGGCGAAGCUUGUGGUGACGGUACCUGCAGAAGAAGCACCGGCUAACUACGUG
rnacentral:rRNA from 1 species